GGCUGGGAAGCUUAGUCAGGAGAGCGUCAGACUUUUAAUCUGAGGGUUCAGUAGAUAGAUUGAUUCAGCUU
rnacentral:tRNA from 1 species